UACAGAGGUCCCAAGCGUUGUUCGGAUUCACUGGGCGUAAAGGGUGCGUAGGUGGUUGGGUAAGUUUGAUGUGAAAGCUCCGAGCUUAACUCGGAAAUUGCAUUGAAUACUAUCUGGCUAGAGGGUUGGAGGGGAGACUGGAAUUCCUGGUGUAGCGGUGGAAUGCGCAGAUAUCAGGAGGAACACCGGUGGCGAAGGCGGGUCUCUGGGCAGUAACUGACGCUGAGGAGCGAAAGCGUGGGGAGCGAACAGG
rnacentral:rRNA from 1 species